UGGGGAAUAUUGCGCAAUGGGCGAAAGCCUGACGCAGCGACGCCGCGUGGGGGAUGACGGCCUUCGGGGUUGUAAACCUCUUUCAGCAGGGACGAAGCGAGAGUGACGGUACCUGCAGAAGAAGCACCGGCCAACUACGUGCCAGCAGCCGCGGUAAUACGUAGGGUGCAAGCGUUGUCCGGAAUUAUUGGGCGUAAAGAGCUCGUAGGCGGUUUGUUGCGUCGGCUGUGAAAACCUGAGGCUCAACCUCAGGCCUGCAGUCGAUACGAGCAGACUAGAGUGUUGCAGGGGAGACUGGAAUUCCUGGUGUAGCGGUGAAAUGCGCAGAUAUCAGGAGGAACACCGGUGGCGAAGGCGGGUCUCUGGGCAACAACUGACGCUGAGGAGCGAAAGCGUGGGGAGCGAACAGGAUUAGAUACCCUGGUAGUCCACGCCGUAAACGUUGGGCGCUAGGUGUGGGGCUCAUUCCACGAGUUCCGUGCCGCAGCUAACGCAUUAAGCGCCCCGCCUGGGGAGUACGGCCGCAAGGCUAAAAC
rnacentral:rRNA from 1 species